CCUGUCAUAUAUAUGAUUUCUCAC
rnacentral:snRNA from 1 species